rnacentral:rRNA from 1 species
AAUAUUGCACAAUGGGUGAAAGCCUGAUGCAGCAACGCCUCGUGAGUGAUGAAGGACUUCGGGACGAAAAGCUCUUUGAUCAGGGAUGAUAAUGACAGUACCUGAAAAACAAGCCACUGCUAAAUACGUGCCAUCAGCCGUGGUAAUACGUAGGUGGCGAGCGUUGUCCGGAAUUACUGGGCGUAAAGGAUGCGUAGGUGGAUACUUAAGUGGGAUGUGAAAUCCCCGGGCUCAACCCGGGAACUGCAUUCCAAACUGGGUAUCUAGAGUGCAGGAGAGGAAAGCGGAAUUCCUAGCGUAGCGGUGAAAUGCGUAGAUAUUAGGAGGAACACCAGUGGCGAAGGCGGCUUUCUGGACUGUAACUGACACUGAGGCAUGAAAGCGUGGGUAGCAAACAGG